CAGAAAUCACAAACACUACAUCAAGAACACCUAUUAGUGACAUCACAAGCACAUCACAGAAAGAGCCUACAAGUGCGAACAAGGAUUCCCCUGGAAGUUAUUUAAAGCACUUAUUUCGUGAGAACGCCACUUUUUGCUUCGACAAUAAGUACUAGUAGUCUAAGGGAGCGUUCGUCUUCUUUGCUCG